GCUUGCACCUCUUGGUUAGCGGCGGACGGGUGAGUAACACGUGGGCAACCUGCCUGUAAGACUGGGAUAACACCGGGAAACCGGUGCUAAUACCGGAUAAUCCUUUUCCUCUCAUGAGGAAAAGCUGAAAGUCGGUUUACGCUGACACUUACAGAUGGGCCCGCGGCGCAUUAGCUAGUUGGUGAGGUAACGGCUCACCAAGGCGACGAUGCGUAGCCGACCUGAGAGGGUGAUCGGCCACACUGGGACUGAGACACGGCCCAGACUCCUACGGGAGGCAGCAGUAGGGAAUCUUCCGCAAUGGACGAAAGUCUGACGGAGCAACGCCGCGUGAGCGAUGAAGGCCUUCGGGUCGUAAAGCUCUGUUGUUAGGGAAGAACAAGUACCGGAGUAACUGCCGGUACCUUGACGGUACCUAACCAGAAAGCCACGGCUAACUACGUGCCAGCAGCCGCGGUAAUACGUAGGUGGCAAGCGUUGUCCGGAAUUAUUGGGCGUAAAGCGCGCGCAGGCGGUCCUUUAAGUCUGAUGUGAAAGCCCACGGCUCAACCGUGGAGGGUCAUUGGAAACUGGGGGACUUGAGUACAGAAGAGGAAAGCGGAAUUCCACGUGUAGCGGUG
rnacentral:rRNA from 2 species